ensembl:snoRNA
CGGACCAAUGUCGAUCAGCGAUGAGAUCUGAAUCGUGGACAGUGACUAGUGUGUGUCUGGAACUCUGAGGUCCAA